GUUUAAGUGAACUUAAAUGAAUGUUGUAGGGUUAUUGUAUGUUUUUGCUUAAAGUUUAUGGCUUUAUUAGUAACUUAUUUUAAUUACGUAUUGUAGAUAAAUUUGUGUUUUGGACUUUGAUAGAAACUUAUGCAAUAUCAUUAUACUUAUCCUACAGGUUUCCGAUAUACUUGCGAGUAUUUCAUCUAACAUGUCUAAGUAAUGCAAACAAUUGAAUGGAAAAAUGGGACAAUUUAAAUACAUAAAUCUCCCCAAAUAAAGUCUUACUAAAAGUGUGCUACAUAUAUCUUGGGAAUCUGAAUGGUCCAUGGUUUAUAACAUUACCUGACGGGAUCACACACACAAAAAAGCAAAGACUAAGGACGUUCUUCGUCUUCGUUUUAUCCAUUAUAAGGAAUAAACGAGGAGGUACUUUAUAAGGGCAUUUGCCUUCAGACACUUUGUGGCCAAUUCUUGUAAAUAGUAAACACAGUGGGAAGAGUUGUAUAUAAAGUGUAGAAUUUUAUAGUAUGUCGGUAUAUAGAUGUAUUGAUUUUAGGAAGUCAUUUCAUUAGUGUUCAUACUUAAUUUUUAUAUUUGACUUAAAAAAAUAUGACGUUGGUUUUUAUAACAAAAACGAUUUAUAACUCCUUUUAUUUAUAAUGAGAUUGUUUUAUUUUAACUACAAAUGUGUAUGCAAGUUCCAUCAUUUUAUGAAUUUUUGUAACAGAAUUAUUUUGAAUUACAUCGCGCAUCUAAGCACGUCAUAUCAUUCCUUCGUAUAUCAAGAGGGACUUUAUUACAUAUCCUUGUAUUUUUCAUAUGUAAUAAACUUCCAUUUUUCAUGUCAUUUGUUUUCAUUUUUUUUUUUUAUAAAUUGUCUAAUUCUUAUUGUGUUGAUAUUGUACAAUGAUUUACUGUACCCGGAUAUCAGAAUAUAAAUUCGUAGCAAUUGGUUCAAAUCAAACCUGUUCCUUUGAAAUUAAAAAAAAGUUUUUAAAUCUUAUUAUUUUAAUUAGACAUUGUUCAACCCCUCCUUUUUUAACAAUCAUGCGAGUCUCUAAUGCCAAGUUAAAUGAUGUGGUUAUUCUGUACUCAUUUACAUAGUGAGAAUAUGAAUGGUUUUUAGGGUUUUUAGAUUUAUUAACGAUUAUCUUGUUGAAGAGUUAAUGGAAUAUGUUUUAUUUUAUACAAUAAGUGAUAUGCUAAAUACAUCAUGCAAUAUACAUUCAUUAUUA
rnacentral:lncRNA from 1 species